rnacentral:rRNA from 1 species
ACCCGCACAAGCGGUGGAUGAUGUGGUUUAAUUCGAUGCAACGCGAAAACCUUACCCACCUUUGACAUGUACGGAAUCCUUUAGAGAUAGAGGAGUGCUCGAAAGAGAGCCGUAACACAGGUGCUGCAUGGCUGUCGUCAGCUCGUGUCGUGAGAUGUUGGGUUAAGUCCCGCAACGAGCGCAACCCUUGUCAUUAGUUGCUACAUUCAGUUGGGCACUCUAAUGAGACUGCCGGUGACAAACCGGAGGAAGGUGGGGAUGACGUCAAGUCCUCAUGGCCCUUAUAGGUGGGGCUACACACGUCAUACAAUGGAUGGUACAAAGGGUCGCCAACCCGCGAGGGGGAGCCAAUCCCAUGAAGCCAUUCGUAGUCCGGAUCGCAGUCUGCAACUCGACUGCGUGAAGUCGGAAUCGCUAGUAAUCGUGGAUCAGAAUGUCACGGUGAAUACGUUCCCGGGUCUU